AUGCUUGAUCUCAAUGAGUUGCCUCCUGAUCUCAAUGAGCUUCCUCAUGAUAUGGAUGAGCAGCAACCCAACAUACCACAAGGGAAUUGGACAGAAAAUGGGCGCUCUGUUUACUACACGCAGACAAGUCAUGGGCCUAACCCUAUGGGCCAUGACAAUGUGGUAGGGCAGUCAUCAACCCGUGGUGCCCCUCUAGUGGUGUCUUUGCAGUCAGAGAGCCAUACUCUUGAUGACACGGGCACCGCAACAAAUGUUCCUGGUCCAACCGGGACUGAGCUUGGAGCUGGUGCUGUUGACAGUGCUGUGCAAGGAGAAGAAGGAGAAGAUGAGGCUGGUUCUCAGCCAAUGGAACCCUAUGUUGGCAUGAGGUUUGACAGCCUUCAAAUUGCUAAGGAUCACUACAAUAGCUACGCCCUAUGGAUGGGUUUCUCUGUAAAAAUGAACACCUCUAGGCGAAAAGAUCACACAAAUGUAUUGGUAAAACAAUAG
rnacentral:rRNA from 1 species